GAACGGCUCUUCGGAGCAGUGGCGGACGGGUGAGUAACGCGUGGGAACGUGCCCUUUGGUUCGGAACAACACAGGGAAACUUGUGCUAAUACCGGAUGUGCCCUUCGGGGGAAAGAUUUAUCGCCAUUGGAGCGGCCCGCGUUGGAUUAGGUAGUUGGUGGGGUAAUGGCCCACCAAGCCGACGAUCCAUAGCUGGUCUGAGAGGAUGAUCAGCCACACUGGGACUGAGACACGGCCCAGACUCCUACGGGAGGCAGCAGUGGGGAAUCUUGCGCAAUGGGCGAAAGCCUGACGCAGCCAUGCCGCGUGAAUGAUGAAGGUCUUAGGAUUGUAAAAUUCUUUCACCGGGGAAGAUAAUGACGGUACCCGGAGAAGAAGCCCCGGCUAACUUCGUGCCAGCAGCCGCGGUAAUACGAAGGGGGCUAGCGUUGCUCGGAAUUACUGGGCGUAAAGGGCGCGUAGGCGGACAGUUAAGUCAGAGGUGAAAGCCCAGGGCUCAACCUUGGAAUUGCCUUUGAUACUGGCUGUCUUGAGUUCGGGAGAGGUGAGUGGAAUGCCGGAGUGUAGAGGUGAAAUUCGUAGAUAUUCGGCGGAACACCAGUGGCGAAGGCGACUCACUGGCCCGAUACUGACGCUGAGGCGCGAAAG
rnacentral:rRNA from 1 species